CUAAUGUAUAUGAAUUAUUUUAAGCCUAGAGACUUGGAUUUUAGUCUCAAGAUUCUCCUACUAUUUUAUUCAAAUUGGUAGCCUCUACCUCCAAUUCAGAGAAUUACUUUAAUUUUUUAGUAGGUACUAGAAUCCACAUAGACUACACACAAGUCCGACUUUGGUCGGCCAACCCAUCUACAUCUACGGAUAGGUUUAUUAACCAAUUAUUUCUUCAAACAACU
rnacentral:lncRNA from 1 species